rnacentral:rRNA from 1 species
GAUGAACGCUGGCGGCGUGCCUAAUACAUGCAAGUCGAGCGAACGGACGAGAAGCUUGCUUCUCUGAUGUUAGCGGCGGACGGGUGAGUAACACGUGGAUAACCUACCUAUAAGACUGGGAUAACUUCGGGAAACCGGAGCUAAUACCGGAUAAUAUUUUGAACCGCAUGGUUCAAAAGUGAAAGACGGUCUUGCUGUCACUUAUAGAUGGAUCCGCGCUGCAUUAGCUAGUUGGUAAGGUAACGGCUUACCAAGGCAACGAUGCAUAGCCGACCUGAGAGGGUGAUCGGCCACACUGGAACUCAGACACGGUCCAGACUCCUACGGGAGGCAGCAGUAGGGAAUCUUCCGCAAUGGGCGAAAGCCUGACGGAGCAACGCCGCGUGAGUGAUGAAGGUCUUCGGAUCGUAAAACUCUGUUAUUAGGGAAGAACAUAUGUGUAAGUAACUGUACACAUCUUGACGGUACCUAAUCAGAAAGCCACGGCUAACUACGUG